rnacentral:rRNA from 1 species
AUUGAACGCUGGCGGCAUGCCUUACACAUGCAAGUCGAACGGUAACAGGUUAAGCUGACGAGUGGCGAACGGGUGAGUAAUGCAUCGGAACGUGCCCGAUCGUGGGGGAUAACGCAGCGAAAGCUGCGCUAAUACCGCAUACGAUCUGAGGAUGAAAGCGGGGGACCGUAAGGCCUCGCGCGAUCGGAGCGGCCGAUGUCAGAUUAGGUAGUUGGUGGGGUAAAGGCCCACCAAGCCGACGAUCUGUAGCUGGUCUGAGAGGACGACCAGCCACACUGGGACUGAGACACGGCCCAGACUCCGACGUGAGGCAGCAGUGGGGAAUUUUGGACAAUGGGCGAAAGCCUGAUCCAGCAAUGCCGCGUGCAGGAAGAAGGCCUUCGGGUUGUAAACUGCUUUUGUACGGAGCGAAAAGGUCCUUUCUAAUACAAGGGGCUCAUGACGGUACCGUAAGAAUAAGCACCGGCUAACUACGUGCCAGCAGCCGCCGUAA